ensembl:snoRNA snoRNA:Me18S-A1576
CUCAAAUGAUGAAACAGAUGACGAGACUGAAGGAACAAAUUCUCGACUUGGCGCUGUAUUUUUCAGUGCCUCGUUAUAUAUUUGUUCAUUUAAGAUGAUUCGGCGAUCUGAUG